AGUGAACGCUGGCGGUAGGCCUAACACAUGCAAGUCGAACGGCAGCACAGAGGAGCUUGCUCCUUGGGUGGCGAGUGGCGGACGGGUGAGGAAUACAUCGGAAUCUACUCUGUCGUGGGGGAUAACGUAGGGAAACUUACGCUAAUACCGCAUACGACCUACGGGUGAAAGCAGGGGACCUUCGGGCCUUGCGCGAUUGCAUGAGCGCAGGUCGGAUUGGCUAGUUGGCGGGGUAAAGGCCCACCAAGGCGACGAUCCGUAGCUGGUCGGGGAGGAUGAUCAGCGACACUGGAACUGAGACACGGUCCAGACUCCUACGGGAGGCAGCAGUGGGGAAUAUUGGACAAUGGGCGCAAGCCUGAUCCAGCCAUACCGCGUGGGUGAAGAAGGCCUUCGGGUUGUAAAGCCCUUUUGUUGGGAAAGAAAUCCAGCUGGCUAAUACCCGGUUGGGAUGACGGUACCCAAAGAAUAAGCACCGGCUAACUUCGUGCCAGCCGCCGCCGUAA
rnacentral:rRNA from 1 species